rnacentral:snoRNA from 1 species
UGGACCAAUGAUGAAUGAUCGUGACGGGAAGAGUCCUGAACGAUGAAAACAUGUCUGAAACUCUGAGGUCCAG